rnacentral:tRNA from 1 species
GCUGGCGUAGCUCAGGGGUAGAGCGCAUCCUUGGUAAGGAUGAGGUCGUGAGUUCAAUUCUCACCGCCAGCU